AUGUAUGUGCCUACAAUGUUAAUGCACCAUAUCCCAUGAGAAAUCUGUAGUUAAUCCUACUUGGGCUAGAGUAACACUGGGAUGGGUGACCUCCCGAGAAGUCUUAGUGUUUUAAAUG
rnacentral:rRNA from 1 species